GAUGGAGAAAAAUCUUAGUUGCA
rnacentral:piRNA from 1 species